GCACAGAGGAGCUUGCUCCUCGGGUGACGAGUGGCGGACGGGUGAGUAAUGUCUGGGAAACUGCCCGAUGGAGGGGGAUAACUACUGGAAACGGUAGCUAAUACCGCAUAACGUCGCAAGACCAAAGUGGGGGACCUCCGGGCCUCACACCAUCGGAUGUGCCCAGAUGGGAUUAGCUUGUAGGCGGGGUAACGGCCCACCUAGGCGACGAUCCCUAGCUGGUCUGAGAGGAUGACCAGCCACACUGGAACUGAGACACGGUCCAGACUCCUACGGGAGGCAGCAGUGGGGAAUAUUGCACAAUGGGCGCAAGCCUGAUGCAGCCAUGCCGCGUGUAUGAAGAAGGCCUUCGGGUUGUAAAGUACUUUCAGCGGGGAGGAAGGUGNUGAGGUUAAUAACCUCAGCNAUUGACGUUACCCGCAGAAGAAGCACCGGCUAACUCCGUGCCAGCAGCCGCGGUAAUACGGAGGGUGCAAGCGUUAAUCGGAAUUACUGGGCGUANAGCGCACGCAGGCGGUCUGUUAAGUCAGAUGUGAAAUCCCCGGGCUU
rnacentral:rRNA from 1 species